GUGGGGAAUAUUGGACAAUGGGCGCAAGCCUGAUCCAGCCAUGCCGCGUGAGUGAUGACGGCCUUAGGGUUGUAAAGCUCUUUUCUCCGGGACGAUAAUGACGGUACCGGAGGAAUAAGCCCCGGCUAACUUCGUGCCAGCAGCCGCGGUAAUACGAAGGGGGCUAGCGUUGCUCGGAAUCACUGGGCGUAAAGGGCGCGUAGGCGGCCUGAUAAGUCGGGGGUGAAAGCCCGUGGCUCAACCACGGAAUGGCCUUCGAUACUGUUGGGCUUGAGUGUGGCAGAGGUCGGUGGAACUGCGAGUGUAGAGGUGAAAUUCGUAGAUAUUCGCAAGAACACCGGUGGCGAAGGCGGCCGACUGGGCCAUCACUGACGCUGAGGCGCGAAAGCGUGGGGAGCAAACAGG
rnacentral:rRNA from 1 species